AUUGAACGCUGGCGGCAUGCCUUACACAUGCAAGUCGAACGGUAACGCGGGGCAACCUGGCGACGAGUGGCGAACGGGUGAGUAAUGCAUCGGAACGUGCCUGGUAGUGGGGGAUAACUGCUCGAAAGCGCAGCUAAUACCGCAUACGACCUGAGGGUGAAAGGGGGGGAUCGCAAGACCUCUCGCUAUCAGAGCGGCCGAUGUCGGAUUAGCUAGUUGGUGGGUUAAAGGCCCACCAAGGCGACGAUCCGUAGCUGGUCUGAGAGGACGACCAGCUACACUGGGACUGAGACACGGCCCAGACUCCGACGGGAGGCAGCAGUGGUGAAUUUUGGACAAUGGACGCAAGUCUGAUCCAGCCAAGCCGCGUGCGGGAAGAAGGCCUUCGGGUUGUAAACCGCUUUUGUCAGGGAAGAAAGCUUCUGGACUAAUACUCUGGGAGGAUGACGGUACCUGAAGAAUAAGCACCGGAUAACUACGUGCCAGCAGCCGCCGUAAAAC
rnacentral:rRNA from 1 species